CAAAUAUCUAUGCAAGGUAGAACAUAAAUAAAUUAAAUGGAAUAGUUAUAAUUAUAUGGAGCAUGCUUUGUGUCUUUUCUUUGUUUUUUUUGUGUGUAUUUUCUUUUUCGCCUUCUGCAGGAUUUUGCUAAAUA
rnacentral:ribozyme from 1 species